UGGGGAAUAUUGCACAAUGGGCGAAAGCCUGAUGCAGCGACGCCGCGUGCGGGAUGAAGGCCUUCGGGUUGUAAACCGCUUUUAAUUGGGAGCAAGCGAGAGUGAGUGUACCUUUUGAAUAAGCACCGGCUAACUACGUGCCAGCAGCCGCGGUAAUACGUAGGGUGCAAGCGUUAUCCGGAAUUAUUGGGCGUAAAGAGCUCGUAGGCGGUUUGUCACGCCUGGUGUGAAAGUCCAUCGCUUAACGGUGGAUCUGCGCCGGGUACGGGCAGGCUAGAGUGCAGUAGGGGAGAUUGGAAUUCCCGGUGUAACGGUGGAAUGUGUAGAUAUCGGGAAGAACACCAAUGGCGAAGGCAGAUCUCUGGGCUGUUACUGACGCUGAGGAGCGAAAGCAUGGGGAGCGAACAGGAUUAGAUACCCGUGGUAGUC
rnacentral:rRNA from 1 species